UGGGGAGCAAACAGGAUUAGAUACCCUGGUAGUCCACGCCCUAAACGAUGUCAAUUAGCUGUUGGGCAACUUGAUUGCUUAGUAGCGUAGCUAACGCGUGAAAUUGACCGCCUGGGGAGUACGGUCGCAAGAUUAAAACUCAAAGGAAUUGACGGGGACCCGCACAAGCGGUGGAUGAUGUGGUUUAAUUCGAUGCAACGCGAAGAACCUUACCUGGUCUUGACAUAGUAGAAACUUUCCAGAGAUGGAUUGGUGCCUUCGGGAAUCUAGAUACAGGUGCUGCAUGGCUGUCGUCAGCUCGUGUCGUGAGAUGUUGGGUUAAGUCCCGCAACGAGCGCAACCCUUGUUCACUGUUGCCAGCACGUUAUGGUGGGGACUCAGUGGAGACCGCCGGGGUCAACUCGGAGGAAGGUGGGGAUGACGUCAAGUCAUCAUGCCCCUUAUGUCCAGGGCUUCACGCAUGCUACAAUGGCUGGUACAGAGAGUGGCGAGCCUGUGAGGGUGAGCGAAUCUCGGAAAGCCGGUCUCAGUUCGGAUUGGGGUCUGCAACUCGACCUCAUGAAGUCGGAGUCGCUAGUAAUCGCAGAUCAGCAACGCUGCGGUGAAUACGUUCCCGGGCCUUGUACACACCGCCCGUCACACCAUGGGAGUUUGUUGCACCAGAAGUAGGUAGUCUAACCGCAAGGAGGACGCUUACCACGGUGUGGCCGAUGACUGGGGUGAAGUCGUAACAAGGUAGCCGUAGGA
rnacentral:rRNA from 1 species